GUUGUGUCUGUCACCGCCGCAUACUUGAAUGCCCGGUGUUGCUCCGUGGACGAGACCCUUGAUCUGUAAUAGGAUGUGGCCAAGAUUCAUGAAAACCAAGCAUGAGCGCGCGAGCUGUGCCGCUACCUCUCCUCGCGACUUGACUGGACCCCUCUCUGAAAUGGAGAUGCUUCCUUGGGACCAACGCUGGGCUGGGCAGUAGUGGAAGCUCCUGGCUGGUCUUCAGUGCUGUUUUUGUUUUGUUGAGCUUUUCUUUUCUUUUUGUUUUGUUUUUGAGACAGGGUGUUUCUGUCCUGGCUGUCCUGGAACUCACCUUGUAGACCAGGCUGGCCUUGAACUCACAGACAUCCGCCUUUCUUUGCCUCCAGAGUGCUGGGAUUAAAGGUGUGUGCCACUAUGCCUUGCUGAGUUUUUCAAUUUAAUUCAUUUCGGUCCAAACUGAAUGGCACACAAGCCUGUAAUUCCAGCAGAGGGAAACAGAGGAAGGCAGAUCUCGGAUUUCCAGGACAGAGCAACACAGUGAAAAAACAACCAAACAAAACCACAGUAGGUGGGCCAACCAUGACGGCAAAUGCUAACCCCAGCACUUGGAUGAUGGAGUCAGGAGGAUCGGCAGGAGUUGAGGCCAUACUUGGCCACAUAGGACAGAGUCAGCCUGGGCCAUAUGAGACUGUCUCAAAAACAAAAAAAACAAAAAACCAAAGCAACAACAAUAAAUAUUACAGAAGGCCACAGUACUGCUAUAGGAGAUACAAAACUCUACAGGCAGAGAGGGAAGGUCUUCAGCUCCUGCUUACCUACUGAGUGCUGGACAUAGGCCAAGCCCUCCCCCAUGUGUCUCAUGAACAUGUCUUAUGGGCUCUGUGAAUGGAACCUAGAGGAUUAGUAGCCACCAUGUAUGUGCUGGAUACUUUAAAAAGAUUCUGGAGCUGGGGAGAUGGGACGGUGAGUGAAAGUGCUCACUGCACUCCAGAGACCCACGUUGAUAGGAUGUCAGGCAUCUAGUCAAAUCACUUCUACGGCCAAAUGGACGGCGGAGACAAGAGGAUCACCUGGAAGCGGGCAGACCAGGCUGUGCAGCAUCAGAAACAAGAGAGACCUGCUUUAACAAAGUGGAAGGUGGGAACUACUCCCCAAAGUUGUCCUUUGGUUUCUAUGAGUGCUGUGGUACAGGCGUGCACACUCCCGCUCUUUGAAACACACAAUUAAUUCCUUUUUUCUUGUUUUGUUCUUUUGAGACAGGGUUUCUCCUUGUCGUUUUUGGUGACUGUCCUGGAUCUUGCUCUGUAGACCAGGCUGGCAAUUAAUUCUUUU